rnacentral:rRNA from 1 species
UACGUAGGGGGCUAGCGUUGUCCGGAAUCAUUGGGCGUAAAGAGCGUGUAGGCGGUCCGGUAAGUCCGCUGUGAAAGUCGGGGGCUCAACCCUCGAAUGCCGGUGGAUACUGCCGGGCUCGAGUCCGGAAGAGGCGAGUGGAAUUCCUGGUGUAGCGGUGGAAUGCGCAGAUAUCAGGAGGAACACCGGUGGCGAAGGCGGGUCUCUGGGCCGAUACUGACGCUGAGGAGCGAAAGCGUGGGGAGCGAACAGG